rnacentral:rRNA from 1 species
ACCUGCCCCCGACGUCGGGGAAGUAACGCGUGCGAAAGCAGCGCUAAUACCGCAUACGCUCCCGGCGUCAGGUCGGGAGGAAAGCUGCGGCGCUCGGGGAGGGGCCUGCGGCCGAUUAGCUAGUCGGUGGGGUAAUGGCCUACCGAGGCGACGAUCGGUAGCUGAUCUGAGAGGAUGAUCAGCCACACUGGGACUGAGACACGGCCCAG